ensembl:lncRNA
AUCUCUGCUUCGUAUGGAGAUAGUUUCCUCAGCAGAGUUUCGCCAUUGUAAAAAUUCAAAUACUAUUCAACCAAGAAAGAAAGAAGCUAUAGUGAAACCAAUUAUUAGUAUAGGCACGAUCUAAAGAUCCCUUGGUGUAGCCUGACAGAGCAUGUCUAAAAAUAUCUUUCAGGUAUCUGUCUAUUUACUAAAUAAUUUCAGCAAACUUAUUCAUUUAAAAAAUUAUUCCCACUUUUCACACUGAAUAAACAAGAAAAUAUGUUUAUUUUGUAAAACAAGGUUUAUGUAUUAACUGCCAGAGUGAGAAAAUAUUCUUUGUAUUAAUCAAGCAAAAUACUAUGAAAUCAAUUUUGUGUGUGUUUGUGUUAGCAUUAUAUAGACUUAAAGCAGUUUAUCUGGUCUCCUUUUUAUCAGUUACCUCAUUUUUACGUACUUUCCCACUCCCUGUGCUCAAAUAGGGCUCAAAAUGCCCUUACUGUUUAUUCUCUUCAAAUAUUUCUCUGCUAACCUGCAAUCCCAAUGCUUCAUUUUUAUAGACUACUUUUAAAAUUCCUAGCAUCAUUAUAAACAUACAUGAUGAAUAGAUGCUUAACUCAUUUCUUCUGAAGUGGGUAGUAAGAUUUAAAAGGAUUUGAAUAUUCUUCAAAUUAUUUUCUCCAAAAUUUCAGGACAUCAGGACUUCUUUCCUUUCCAGAUAUGUCUAAAAUUAUUAUUACUCACGUCUUCUCAGACAUUGAUUUUAGCAAAUCUAACCUGUCCUUAGAUGCAUAUUUGGACAGACAUUACAGUUGUGUUUCAGUGCAGAAAACUUCUGUGUUUUCACAUCAACUGCAAUAUUGGUUGGUUUGCUGUUGUUGUUUGUAUGUUUAUUUGUUGUUUAGAUGCACCUCUAUCUAGAAAAUGAAAUAUAUUAUAUCCAGAUUUGUGCUGGGGAGAAUGCAGAAGCACAGUAGGAAAGCAAUUGUGUUUCACUGAUUUAUCCUACUUUCAAGUAGAGGAUAAAAAGUCUGUGUUUUAAUAAAGCCUCCGCUGGUGGCGCACAGAAGAGGUCUGACUGCUUGGAAAAACAGCCAUAGGAUGUAGCAACCACCAACAAUGUUUGAUUAAAACUCAGACAGUUCUUCCUCAGAUCAGAUUAAUUAGUUCAGGUAAGGAGUUCUGACUGUCUAAUAAAGGAAACGUAAAAUAUAUAAUAAGGCAUCCCCUAAUCCUUCAGUCUAUCCUAUUCACUCUGAAAUGUAUAAAUCACAAUGGAUGUAUGGACAUACUAACAUCUUAAUUAUAAAAACUACACAUAUAUAGGCGUUUGCACUGGAAAAAAAAAAAGCUGAAGGAAAAACUGUGAUUGAGUUUUUGUGUUUUGUGGGUUGUUUUUGUUUGUUUGUUUGUUUGUUAACACAGAAUUUGGGGCAGUUCAAAUCCCUGUGCUCACAACCUUCUCUUCAUUUGUUUCUACAUAGAUGUAAGACAAUUUGACAUGUGUGCAAAAAUAUUCAUGGCACUAUUGCAAGCAUUUUGUAUUUUCAAAAAAUCAGCUACAUAACUGUAUAUUCAGAGGGUAUUAACAAUAGUGUAUCAGACAUUCACUGUGGCUGCAAGCCAAAUUAUAUGUGGCUUUCACUAUAACAAGCAAAAAACACCAAGAAGUAGAUCAAACAUCAUUUGAAGAGACAAUUUUGAGAAAUGUUAUGUAAGGAUGACACUAUAAUGCCAUUUUUAUUAUUACUGAAUAGAAAUGUAGAAAGGUUGGACAUGUUUCCAAAAAUAGAGGUCAUUACAUGUUGCUUUACUCUGAAUCAGAAUGACAGUCUGGCUCUUUCAAAUUGUCUGCAAAAGAAACUUCAAGAACAAGUUUGGGACUGGUCAGAAGCUUUUGUUCUGAUAACACAGUGUAUCUUCUGUGCAAUAUAGAAAUAAAAGCCAAAUUG